GCCGUUCCCUCGGGCCCUGUUCCCACCCGCCACCGCUCAUGGAGCAGAGGCUGUGGUACGUGCUGAGGAAGAAGGACUUGGAAGAUCUUGAGAACAGACACUGCUUCUGUGGUCUGAUUCUUGUAGAAGCAGUGACUGCGUUCCCUCAGAUAACGCCAAGGAAUAGAAACUGUUCUGUGGGCACUUGGGGAAAGAAUACUAAUGAAGGAGCAACAGAAGAAGACAGCAUUAGGGAGGUGAAAGAAAAAGUGACAGAGAAGUUAUAUUAAAUUGACCUGCUCCACGGCAAUUAUUGUAGUUUCUUCUAGCAAAGAAGCUGAAUACUUCAGCUAGGAAACAACUUCCACCAGUGUAUUUUUAUCCCACAUUUCACAUGGGAAGAACAUAGUGGGAAGGAAUUAAGUCACACCUUGAAGUCAAAGGGGAAAUCAGAACACUUCCAGAUUGUUUUGUUUAUUCUCACAAGACUUUUCUCUUGUACACAAAUUCCUUCCCUUAAUAAUUUAACUGACCCAGCCCAUUCCAGUGCCUGACCACCCUUUCAGAGAAGUAGUAUUUCCUAACGUCCAGCCUGAACCUUCCCUGGCGCAGCUUGAAGCCAUUCCCUCUAGUCCUAAUGUAUGUCCUAAUAUAUGAAUGUAACAUAUAUGUGUAACAUGUAUAUAGCAUGAUUACUUAUUUACCUGUAUUUGCGGUGAUGUUUGGAAAGGAGCCUUAAAAUAAAGCUAUGAUU
rnacentral:lncRNA from 7 species